AUACGGAGGAUCCGAGCGUUAUCCGGAUUUAUUGGGUUUAAAGGGUGCGCAGGCGGCCAUUUAAGUCAGCGGUUCAAUCGUGGGGCUCAACCCCAUUCUGCCGUUGAUACUGGGUGGCUUGAUUGCGGUCGAGGUUGGCGGAAUUCGUUGUGUUGCGGUGAAAUGUCUAGAUAUGACGAAGAACUCCUAUUGCGUAGGCAGCUGACCAGACCGCAAAUGACGCUCAUGCACGAAAGUGCGGGGAUCGAACAGGAUUAGAUACCAUGGUAGUCCGCACAGUAAACGAUGAAUACUUGUUUUCGGCGAUAUAAUGUCGGAGGCAAAGCGAAAGCGAUAAGUAUUCCACCUGGGGAGUACGCCGGCAACGGUGAAACUCAAAGGAAUUGACGGGG
rnacentral:rRNA from 1 species